AGUGAACGCUGACGGUAGGCCUAACACAUGCAAGUCGAACGGCAGCACAGUAAGAGCUUGCUCUUACGGGUGGCGAGUGGCGGACGGGUGAGGAAUACAUCGGAAUCUACUUUUUCGUGGGGGAUAACGUAGGGAAACUUACGCUAAUACCGCAUACGACCUACGGGUGAAAGCAGGGGAUCUUCGGACCUUGCGCGAUUGAAUGAGCCGAUGUCGGAUUAGCUAGUUGGCGGGGUAAAGGCCCACCAAGGCGACGAUCCGUAGCUGGUCUGAGAGGAUGAUCAGCCACACUGGAACUGAGACACGGUCCAGGCUCCUACGGGAGGCAGCAGUGGGGAAUAUUGGACAAUGGGCGCAAGCCUGAUCCAGCCAUACCGCGUGGGUGAAGAAGGCCUUCGGGUUGUAAAGCCCUUUUGUUGGGAAAGAAAAGCAGCAGGUUAAUACCCCGCUGUUCUGACGGUACCCAAAGAAUAAGCACCGGCUAACUUCGUG
rnacentral:rRNA from 1 species